CGUGGAGUAGCUCAGCUGGUAGAGCUCCCAGAUCGAGUGGGAGGACGCGGGUUCGAUUCCUGCCUUCACGG
rnacentral:tRNA from 1 species